rnacentral:piRNA from 1 species
UGCCUGAGAAGAAGCGAGGGAAGCCCAUUC